rnacentral:rRNA from 1 species
UACGGAGGGUGCUAACGUUGCUCGGAAUUAUUGGGCGUAAAGCGCACGUAGGCGGUUUUGUAAGUUGGAUGUGAAAGCCCGGGGCUUAACCCUGGAAGUGCAUCCAAAACUACAUAACUUGAGUUCCGGAGGGGGUUGGAGAAUUCUCGGUGGAGAGGUGAAAUUCGUAGAUAUCGGGAGGAAUACCAGUGGCGAAGGCGCCGACCUGGCCGGAUACUGACGCUGAGGUGCGAAAGCGUGGGGAGCAAACAGG